UUAUGCAGUGAACACCAAAGUGUGCUUUAUAGUUCCCUUGGUUUUAACUGUGUGCUAGAGUGAUGUCUGUUUUUUACUUCUGCAUUGAAAAGGCUGCCAUUUUAAUUGUAUUAAGAAAGUAAAAAGUCAG
ensembl:snoRNA